rnacentral:rRNA from 1 species
UACGGGAGGCAGCAGUGGGGAAGUAUUGCACAAUGGGCGCAAGCCUGAUGCAGCCAUGCCGCGUGUAUGAAGAAGGCCUUCGGGUUGUAAAGUACUUUCAGUCGUGAGGAAGGUGUUAAGGUUAAUAACCUUAGCAAUUGACGUUAGCGACAGAAGAAGCACCGGCUAACUCCGUGCCAGCAGCCGCGGUAAUACGGAGGGUGCGAGCGUUAAUCGGAAUUACUGGGCGUAAAGGGCACGCAGGCGGUUAAUUAAGUUGGAUGUGAAAUCCCCGGGCUUAACCUGGGAAUGGCAUUCAAGACUGGUUAGCUAGAAGUCUUGUAGAGGGGGUAGAAUUCCAUGUGUAGCGGUGAAAUGCGUAGAGAUGUGGAGGAAUACCGGUGGCGAAGGCGGCCCCCUGGACAAAAGACUGACGCUCAUGUGCGAAAGCGUGGGGAGC